rnacentral:rRNA from 1 species
AGUGAACGCUGGCGGUAGGCCUAACACAUGCAAGUCGAACGGCAGCACCGUAAGAGCUUGCUCUUACGGGUGGCGAGUGGCGGACGGGUGAGGAAUACAUCGGAAUCUACUUUUUCGUGGGGGAUAACGUAGGGAAACUUACGCUAAUACCGCAUACGACCUACGGGUGAAAGCAGGGGAUCUUCGGACCUUGCGCGAGUGAAUGAGCCGAUGUCGGAUUAGCUAGUUGGCGGGGUAAAGGCCCACCAAGGCGACGAUCCGUAGCUGGUCUGAGAGGAUGAUCAGCCACACCGGAACUGAGACACGGUCCAGACUCCUACGGGAGGCAGCAGUGGGGAAUAUUGGACAAUGGGCGCAAGCCUGAUCCAGCCAUACCGCGUGGGUGAAGAAGGCCUUCGGGUUGUAAAGCCCUUUUGUUGGGAAAGAAAAGCAGCAGGUUAAUACCCCGCUGUUCUGACGGUACCCAAAGAAUAAGCACCGGCUAACUUCGUG